AGCUUUUUACCUCCGGGUUAAAAAAACCCACUUCCUUUCUUUUCACGACCCCACUCAAGCUGAAACUGUGAGCGUGGUCUUCGCUAUAUGUCUUCAUUAAAGUUAAUAAAGGCUUUCCAGGACGAUGGCGCUUGGCUUCCACGAUGCUGCUGAGCUGCUGAGCUAACCACAACAUGGUAAACGGCAGUGGCCAAGGGAGGAUGAAGACAAUCCACCAGUGCCAAAGCACACCGAUUGAGACAUUAGGAGUGACAUUCCCUUCAUGCAUUCACUUGUGGUACUGCUCCACUUUUCUAAUCCUGAUCUAAUUAAAGACCUCAUC